rnacentral:rRNA from 1 species
GGUGGCCCACCUCAAGGGAGAGGCAACGCCCUCCAUCCUCCUGGAGGCGGCAGCGGUGAAUAAUGUGCAAAAGGGGAAGACGCGUGCUAGAGCAACCGCGUGAAGGAGGAAGGUGCUUUCGGGUUAAAAAUCAUUUAUCGAGGAAAAAGGAAGGAAGGGUACUCCAGGAUCAAUCUAGGGUAAAUUAGUUCCCGCCAGCGGGGUUACUAGUUGGAGGCCAAGGUUAUUCGGAUUCUAUGGGGGUAAAGGGGGGGCAGGGGGGGUAGUAAAUUGGGAUGGAAAAUUCCCGGGUUAAAUGGGAGAGGCGCAUCUAAAAUGGGGAAUUAGAGGUGUGUAGAGGGAAAGGGAAUUUCAGGGGUAGUGGGGAAAAGGGGUAGAUAUCGGAGGGACCCCAGGGGGGAAGGGGGCCUUUCCGACCAUACCUGACAGUUGAGACGGAAAAGCAGGUAGCAAACAGGAUAGAGAAUCCGGUGUCCAGCCCGUAAAGAAGCAGUAUUGGGGUAGGGGGUAUAAUCUCC